ACGGGUGAGUAACACGUGGGUAACCUGCCCAUAAGACUGGGAUAACUCCGGGAAACCGGGGCUAAUACCGGAUAACAUUUUGAACCGCAUGGUUCGAAAUUGAAAGGCGGCUUCGGCUGUCACUUAUGGAUGGACCCGCGUCGCAUUAGCUAGUUGGUGAGGUAACGGCUCACCAAGGCAACGAUGCGUAGCCGACCUGAGAGGGUGAUCGGCCACACUGGGACUGAGACACGGCCCAGACUCCUACGGGAGGCAGCAGUAGGGAAUCUUCCGCAAUGGACGAAAGUCUGACGGAGCAACGCCGCGUGAGUGAUGAAGGCUUUCGGGUCGUAAAACUCUGUUGUUAGGGAAGAACAAGUGCUAGUUGAAUAAGCUGGCACCUUGACGGUACCUAACCAGAAAGCCACGGCUAACUACGUGCCAGCAGCCGCGGUAAUACGUAGGUGGCAAGCGUUAUCCGGAAUUAUUGGGCGUAAAGCGCGCGCAGGUGGUUUCUUAAGUCUGAUGUGAAAGCCCACGGCUCAACCGUGGAGGGUCAUUGGAAACUGGGAGACUUGAGUGCAGAAGAGGAAAGUGGAAUUCCAUGUGUAGCGGUGAAAUGCGUAGAGAUAUGGAGGAACACCAGUGGCGAAGGCGACUUUCUGGUCUGUAACUGACACUGAGGCGCGAAAGCGUGGGGAGCAAACAGGAUUAAAUACCCUGGUAGUCCACGCCGUAAACGAUGAGUGCUAAGUGUAAAAGGGUUUCCCCCCUUUAGUGCUGAAGUUACGCAUUAGCCCUCCCCCUGGGGAAUACGGCC
rnacentral:rRNA from 1 species